rnacentral:rRNA from 1 species
UAGCCGUAAACGAUACUCGCUAGGUGUCGGCCACGGUGCGACCGUUGUCGGUGCCGUAGGGAAGCCGUGAAGCGAGCCACCUGGGAAGUACGGCCGCAAGGCUGAAACUUAAAGGAAUUGGCGGGGGAGCACCACAACGGGUGGAGCUUGCGGUUUAAUCGGACUCAACGCCGGGAAGCUCACCGGAUAAGACAGCUGAAUGAUAGCCGGGUUGAAGACUCUGCUUGACUAGCUGAGAGGAGGUGCAUGGCGUAGUCGUGU